CCACUUACUUCCAAGCCCUGAGGAGCUCCACAACCUAGAACCAGGAAGCGCCUACAGAAUCCGUGAUAUUUCUGCUACGAGUUUCUGUAGGAACCACACUUUCCUAUUUCUGGACCUUUUGUCUGUUGCUGCUUCUGGACCUGAAAACGCCUUCUCCUCCCUCCUCUUUGUUAACUGCCAACAUCGCUAAUUCCUGCUUUCCCUCCAGGACCCCGCUUAGACGUCCCCCAUCUUGGGAGCCUUCCCUAAUAUACCAGGAGCAAGUGUUGCUGAAAACCCAUAUUCUCAGCAUGGAAGAAGAUAAAUUCAGAUGUUAAACUAGAAGAGAUGAAGUUAAAAUCCUAUAGUCCUGAUUUUGAAUUGCUUAUGAAUUGAUGAUGAAAUGUAUGUUUUAGAACACAGUUUCCUGAAGAACAGGAGGGAUAGCUAGAGAGGGGAUAGGAGGGAAGCUGGAAGGGGUUACAAAGAGGCCCAAAUAAACUUUUGGGGGUGACA
rnacentral:sRNA from 1 species